rnacentral:tRNA from 1 species
GGAGAGGUGCCGGAGUGGCCGAUCGGGCACGACUGGAAAUCGUGUGUGCGCGCAAGCGUACCGUGGGUUCGAAUCCCACCCUCUCCGCCA